UACGUAGGGUGCAAGCGUUGUCCGGAAUUAUUGGGCGUAAAGGGCUCGUAGGCGGUCCAUCGCGUCGGGAGUGAAAAGCUGGGGCUUAACCCCAGUCCUGCUUCCGAUACGGGUGGACUAGAGGUAGGUAGGGGAGAACGGAAUUCCUGGUGUAGCGGUGAAAUGCGUAGAGCUCGGGAAGAACAUCGGUGGCGAAAGCGCUCUGCUGGACUGCAACUGACACUCAGGGACGAAAGCUAGGGGAGCGAAUGGG
rnacentral:rRNA from 1 species